rnacentral:rRNA from 1 species
AGGGCCGCGGUAUACUGACCGUGCGAAGGUAGCAUAAUCAUUAGUCUUUUAAUUGAAGGCUUGUAUGAAUGGUUGGACAAAAAGCAAACUGUCUCAGUUGUAAUAAUUGAAUUUAACUUUUGAGUGAAAAGGCUUAAAUAAGUUAGGGGGACGAUAAGACCCUAUAAAGCUUGACAAUAAGCCGUUUAUAUUAUAAAUUGUUAGUAUAACUUGAUUUUAAAUGGUGUUUGUUGCGUUGGGGCGACGAGAAUAUAAAAGAUAACUGUUCUUAUAAUAUUUAAUAACAGAAAUAGCUGGAAAAUUAAUGAUCCUUUCUUUAAGAUCAUAAGAUUAAGUUACUUUAGGGAUAACAGCGUAAUCUUCCUUGAGAGUUCAUAUCGACAGGAAGGGUUGCGACCUCGAUGUUGAAUUAAGGUAUCCUUAUAAUGCAGCAGUUAUAAAGG